CAUAGCCCGUCACACCCUGGGAAUUGGUUCACCCGAAGCAUCGGACCAAUGAUCACCCAUGACUUCUGUAGAAACAAAGUCCUUUGGUGGUCUUAUUGGAGCACACUACGGUGGGGUCUUCGACUGGGGUGAAGUCGUAAUAAGGUAGCCGUAGGGGAACCUAUGGCUG
rnacentral:rRNA from 1 species